UUAUGCUGACAUGAGUAACGACAAUGGGUGUGAAAAACACCCACGCCGAAAGACCAAGGGUUCCUGCGCAACGUUAAUCGACGCAGGGUUAGUCGGUUCCUAAGGCGAGGCUGAAAAGCGUAGUCGAUGGGAAACAGGUUAAUAUUCCUGUACUUCUGGUUACUGCGAUGGAGGGACGGAGAAGGCUAGGCCAGCUUGGCGUUGGUUGUCCAAGUUUAAGGUGGUAGGCUGAAAUCUUAGGUAAAUCCGGGGUUACAAGGCCGAGAGCUGAUGACGAGUCGUCUUUUAGAUGACGAAGAGGUUGAUGCCAUGCUUCCAAGAAAAGCUUCUAAGCUUCAGGUAACCAGGAACCGUACCCCAAACCGACACAGGUGGUCGGGUAGAGAAUACCAAGGCGCUUGAGAGAACUCGGGUGAAGGAACUAGGCAAAAUGGCACCGUAACUUCGGGAGAAGGUGCGCCGGCUAGGGUGAAGGAUUUACUCCGUAAGCUCUGGCUGGUCGAAGAUACCAGGCCGCUGCGACUGUUUAUUAAAAGCACAGCACUCUGCAAACACGAAAGUGGACGUAUAGGGUGUGACGCCUGCCCGGUGCCGGAAGGUUAAUUGAUGGGGUUAGCGCAAGCGAAGCUCUUGAUCGAAGCCCCGGUAAACGGCGGCCGUAACUAUAACGGCCCUAAGGUAGCGAAAUCCCUUGUCGGGUAAGUUCCGACCUGCACGAAUGGCGUAACGAUGGCGGCGCUGUCUCCACCCGAGACUCAGUGAAAUUGAAAUCGCUGUGAAGAUGCAGUGUAUCCGCGGCUAGACGGAAAGACCCCGUGAACCUUUACUGUAGCUUUGCACUGGACUUUGAGCCUGCUUGUGUAGGAUAGGUGGGAGGCUUUGAAGCGUGGACGCCAGUUCGCGUGGAGCCAUCCUUGAAAUACCACCCUGGCAUGCUUGAGGUUCUAACUCUGGUCCGUAAUCCGGAUCGAGGACAGUGUAUGGUGGGCAGUUUGACUGGGGCGGUCUCCUCCUAAAGAGUAACGGAGGAGUACGAAGGUGCGCUCAGACCGGUCGGAAAUCGGUCGCAGAGUAUAAAGGCAAAAGCGCGCUUGACUGCGAGACAGACACGUCGAGCAGGUACGAAAGUAGGUCUUAGUGAUCCGGUGGUUCUGUAUGGAAGGGCCAUCGCUCAACGGAUAAAAGGUACUCCGGGGAUAACAGGCUGAUACCGCCCAAGAGUUCAUAUCGACGGCGGUGUUUGGCACCUCGAUGUCGGCUCAUCACAUCCUGGGGCUGAAGCCGGUCCCAAGGGUAUGGCUGUUCGCCAUUUAAAGUGGUACGCGAGCUGGGUUUAGAACGUCGUGAGACAGUUCGGUCCCUAUCUGCCGUGGACGUUUGAGAUUUGAGAGGGGCUGCUCCUAGUACGAGAGGACCGGAGUGGACGAACCUCUGGUGUUCCGGUUGUCACGCCAGUGGCAUUGCCGGGUAGCUAUGUUCGGAAAAGAUAACCGCUGAAAGCAUCUAAGCGGGAAACUUGCCUCAAGAUGAGAUCUCACUGGGAACUUGAUUCCCCUGAAGGGCCGUCGAAGACUACGACGUUGAUAGGCUGGGUGUGUAAGCGUUGUGAGGCGUUGAGCUAACCAGUACUAAUUGCCCGUGAGGCUUGACC
rnacentral:rRNA from 1 species